UGGAUGAGGAAAAAAAAAAGCACGAGAUUGAAGAAUAAAAAUAAAUAUAAUACAUAACAUAAAAUUAAUAAAAUAUAAUAAUAUGUUUUUAUAAAAAUACAAUAUAUAAUAGUAAAUUAAGAUGGUAUUAAAAUUAAUAGUGUAUCAGAGUAUAAUUUAGUCUUGAUAUUUUUGGGGCGCUUGAGUUUGAGGCAGACAUUAAUUGGAUUAUUUGGCUAUGUGUUAUACGCAAUGCAAGCGGUGAUUGUGUAUCGUAAGUUUAUUAAACUAUUCUAAAAAUACGUGUUGGUAAAAAGGACGUAUCCAUCGUGUUAAGGGCUAAGACAAAACACUCGCGGACUUCGAUUUUACUCAAUUCAUCUGAACACAGAAUUUAUUGUUAGGUCUCUUUUCGUUAGGUUUUUUGUGAAUUAUAUUCCUACUCAACUUAUUAAAUUCAUCCAAUCUAAUUUAUUGGUCUCCUGUAUUUAUUGUUACGGGAUAAAAAAUUAGACCCAUUUUUGCUUAAUAAUAAAUAGCCA
rnacentral:lncRNA from 1 species